rnacentral:sRNA from 1 species
UACCAUCGCACCGCCCGCCACCGGAGUA